rnacentral:rRNA from 1 species
GACGAACGCUGGCGGCGUGCCUAAUACAUGCAAGUUGAGCGCUGAAGGUUGGUACUUGUACCAACUGGAUGAGCAGCGAACGGGUGAGUAACGCGUGGGGAAUCUGCCUUUGAGCGGGGGACAACAUUUGGAAACGAAUGCUAAUACCGCAUAAAAACUUUAAACACAAGUUUUAAGUUUGAAAGAUGCAAUUGCAUCACUCAAAGAUGAUCCCGCGUUGUAUUAGCUAGUUGGUGAGGUAAAGGCUCACCAAGGCGAUGAUACAUAGCCGACCUGAGAGGGUGAGCGGCCACAGUGGGACUGAGACACGGCCCAAACUCCUACGGGAGGCAGCAGUAGGGAAUCUUCGGCAAUGGACGAAAGUCUGACCGAGCAACGCCGCGUGAGUGAAGAAGGUUUUCGGAUCGUAAAACUCUGUUGGUAGAGAAGAACGUUGGUGAGAGUGGAAAGCUCAUCAAGUGACGGUAACUACCCAGAAAGGGACGGCUAACUAC